ACAUAUUAGGGUGCAUGGGUGCACUCCAGUCAGUUGAGGGUGGACUGGGAAGGAUUCCAGGGUUUUACAAUAUAAAGUCCCUUAAUAUCUUCAAGUAGUGUCUGAUUUCAGCAAUCUUGACAGAAUCCUCAGCCAUGCUCAUGUCUCCCUGCACCACCAAAGCACAGAGGGUGAGAGGUCAAGCCUGGAAGGGGGACUCUUGUUAGUGCAA
rnacentral:lncRNA from 1 species